rnacentral:ncRNA from 1 species
GUGUUGUAUGAAAGGAGAGAAGGUUGGCACUCCCCUUGAUAAGGAUGGAAGAGGUCCUAGUGACCUUUACAACAUGCAUAUGGUUAAGGCAUUGCCACUUACUUCAUGGCAUCUAGUG